UUUUGUGCAGUAAUAAUGUAUUUAUUUAGCAUUAACAGUAAUAAAUAAGCAGAAAUAAAACUCAAAUUGAAGUAUUAUAAUAUUGUUGAUAAAUGUUUUGGAUAUAAACUAUAAAAAAAGCAUGAUAAAGUAACAUAACUGUGAUAACCUUUAUUUAUAACAUCAUUUUGAAAAACUUGUAACAUGUAAGUGAGCUGUUUCAUUCAGAUGUGGGUAAGGCAAAUGAUAUAUACAAAAAAUAGAAGAAAAAAAGUCGUGCUACAUUCAAAUUACACAUUAGCGAACAAAAAAAUUAAGAGGGGAGGUAUUACUAAACGUCGGUAGCAUUAAAUGUUACAUUUCGCGAAGUGAAAAUGUAACUUAGGAAUUUUGUUAAAAUACAUAACUGGAAGAUAAAAAGACCCCCUCCCCUGGAUUAUUAUAUCCCCUCCCCUGGCGUUUGAAUAAAUUAUGUAGGAAGAUUAUAUGCAGCGACAUAAUAGGGAUACAAUAUGGAUUGUAUGCCUAUAUCAUUUACUAUGAAAGUCGACAUUUUGUACUUGAAUGCAUAUAAGGAUUGACCAGCCACCACUCAGUAUCUAUUUGGACCUAGUAUUGUCUAUCUAGUAUUUUUAAAUAAUAUAUUUAAUUUCUGUAUCUUUUUCAAAGUCUCAUAUCACAGAAUCAUGCCAUAGACAAUUAAACCACCAUAUAAGACAGCGCCAUUACAAAUUUAUGAAAAAAUAGUGUGAAUUUAUUUACGUUUUUCCUUUUAU
rnacentral:lncRNA from 1 species